rnacentral:rRNA from 1 species
GACAGAGGUCCCGAGCGUUAGGCGGAAUCACUGGGCUUAAAGCGUGUGUAGGCGGAUGCCUAAGUACCUUGUGAAAUCCCACGGCUCACCCGUGGAACUGCUUGGUAUACUGGGUAUCUUGAGCCACUUAGGGGCUACCGGAACAAAUGGUGGAGCGGUGAAAUGCGUAGAUAUCAUUUGGAACGCCAAUGGUGAAAACAGGUAGCUGGGAGUGUGCUGACGCUGAGACACGAAAGCCAGGGGAGCAAACGGG